CAGUAGCCGCGGUGAGACAGAGGUCCCGAGCGUUGUUCGGAUUCAUUGGGCGUAAAGGGUGUGUAGGAGGUCGGGUAAGUCGUGUGUGAAAUCUCAGAGCUUAACUCUGAAACUGCGCUCGAUACUGCCCGGCUAGAGGAUCGGAGGGGGUAACGGAAUUCAUGGUGUAGCAGUGAAAUGCGUAGAUAUCAUGAGGAACACCGGUGGCGAAGGCGGUUACCUGGAAGAUUCCUGACUCUGAAACACGAAAGCCAGGGGAGCAAACGGGAUUAGAUACCCCCGUAGUCCCUGUCUCUUAUAA
rnacentral:rRNA from 1 species